ensembl:lncRNA
AACUUUCAUAUUCUCCCCUUUGGGCAGAGGAGGAUAGCAAUUAAAUCUCCUUUUGUCUUCUCUUCUCCAGAGUAAGCAAACCCAGCUGUCCCAGCCUGUGAUCCUACAUUAUGUGCUCCAAUCUCUACUCUGUCUUUGUGAUCCUCACAGCAUUUAUCACAAGUGAUACAGGAACAAUUUCUUCCUUCCCUUUCUUUCUGAGGGUCACAUUACCUGUGUACAUCACACAUUUCCUUCAUUUCUGCAUCCUCUGCAGAAGCACAGUGAGUGGAAAAGGGGAAAGAAAACCAGAAAGAGGGAGUUUUCUGGCAGAGGGACAUGGAAUGAGUAAGAAGAAAGGCAAUGAAUGGGGAAAGGGAAGAGCGAAGAGUGGUGAAUAGACUAAACAGCCAGACUUGUGGUACCUAGCAAGCUGCUGACAAGAGGACAGUGUUGCCUUUUGUACACAGGAUCUUUGAUGUGGGAUUUGAAAAAGCUGGAGCUCCUGCCCCAGUACAUCUCCAAAGGAUUGCUCUUUUUCUCAACUUAUUAUGGGCAUUUUUAACCUGCUGCCUGCCAUGGCCAAGCACUCCAUCUCACUGGACCCACAGCCAUCUGCUCUGAAGACUCUCCCUCAUCAUGUCUUGUCCUGUCAUCUGGAGUCUGUUCACAUGACAGUGGAACUUGGGGUAAUAGCCUCAGCCAAGUGCUGUCCAGUGCACUCCAUGGAAAGGGAAAGGGUCUUGGUGUCACUAGUGCCACAGAGGAGCUGCAUAGGGGAGUUCUGGAGAUGAUGACACUUGCCUCAGAAUUGCACUCCAGGCCUGAAACAAAACAUCAAGCAGCAUAAUAACAGCUGAAUUCAGGUUUGCAGAGGAAGAGAUUAUUGCAAGCAGUGGGCCUUACUGAAGAGCAAGGAGCAAUGGAGUGUCUCAGACUACUAAAUGUACAGACUGUGUUUGAUUUUACACAUAUUCUGCUUUCCCCCCUUUUCUUACAUAUGGCAUUAUAUUCUGAUGUAUGUUAUGGAACUUAAAGGCCUUAGCUAACUACAAAAGCCCAAUUCACUUAUCUGAAUCCUAACUAGUUCUUUGUAUAUUAUGAUGAAGAACUUUCACAGCUUUGAAGAAUUGUACUUAAAAAGCAAUCAACAACUUUUUUUGCAUUGUGUCUCAUUUCCAGCUUUCCAAUUUCAUAAGUCUUUGUUUUAUGAGACAGCUUUAAUGGAGAUUUCCAGAUGAACUUCUCUAUCUUGCUACUGAACAUUUCAUUUAAUUUUGAACAUUUCAUCAGUAUGUUCCAUAAGACAAUAACGAAGGGAAGUUUGAAGUGCUUAAUAUUUAUAAUGGAUUUGCUAUGAACUUGUUUCUCAUUUGAAUAAAUGGAUUGUGCUCUAUUUUCAUUGAUCUUUUUAAAUGAAAUAGCAUUUAGGACAAUUUUUUAAUACCUCCACAAUAUGGAAAGCUUUAUUCUCCAAAAGUCUUUGCUCAUAAUUCCUACUGAACCUUUACUGAGGCUGGAUGACAAGGUACAGCACUGAAGGUAUAAAUGACCCUUUGGAAUUACACACUUUGUUUUCAGUCUCAUUCUUAUUUAUUACUGAGCUGAUCUUUGCUCUCCAACAAAGGAAGAUAGAGCUUCUGAAAUCAUGCCUAUUGCAGCAGUGGAGAUUUGCAGUAAAGGCCAUUGGACUGCCAGAAUUUUCUAGGUAACAGAGAAUGGUGGCACAAAUUCUAUCUGCUCAAUGCUUCAACUUUGCAGACAGGCUGACUUUAAAAAUUUUUGACACUCAAACUUCACCUUAUAAAUUGAAAUGCGUGUGUGCAUUUCUAAAGGGUUAGUGACUAGCCAUGUACUUGAAAUUAUGAGGUUAUGGUGUGGUUUCCCUUUUGAGGUGUUAAAGCUUUUAAGGUUUAUUUUUCUUACCAUUUCAAAGUUAUUCAGAAAUAUAUAUCUAAUACAGUCAUGGAAAAAUUUCUCUCCUUCCUUUUUUUCUUUUGAGCUCAAAAGAGUCUGACCUUUAACUUCCUUAGGUCUCUAGAAAGGUGAAGGAUGGCAUUCUACAUAUGAAAUCAAAAUGGGCAGGAUGCUAUUUCUCAAACAAGGUUUUAGCUCUGCUGGAAUUUUGAUUGUUUAUGAGAGGUAUUUGUAACCUUUACCCUUCUUGCCAUUAGAAUUCGUCUAACCUUCUUGUCUGUACAUGCAGUGACAAACAAGACUUUUAAAUAAGACCAGUUACCUAUUAGCCCUGUAAUCAGGGAGAGUCUGCCACAGUUGCAGCAGCCACCACUGGGCCCAGGUCACAGUCUGGAGAGUUGCCAGGGAAUACCCGUGUGCCUGACAUGUGAAUCAAAUUACCCUCCUGCAAGCAGUGUCCAGAGAGAGACUUAUCUCAUUAAUUAUACAUGGAAAUUGAGAUCCAGCAACAUCUGACGAGGUUCUGUAUUUCAAGCCUUGGUUUUCUGAUGCUGUCAGCAGCAGAUCAACAAUCUAAUUAAAAUGGCCAUCAAAGCAGAUCUGAAAUACAUUAAAUGGCUCCCAUUAAUGUCAUAUUUAAUUUAGUGGUUCAGUGUUGAAGAUGUUCAUUACUGUCCUUUGCUUGAUUUUGAACUUCUGAGAAAGUUUUAUAAAUGAUAUUUACGUAAACAUGUUGUUUACAUAUCAGAAACCUCUUCUGUAGUUUCACUCCCAGCUUUAUUGCAUCUGGGUCGCCAGCUACCCCUUGGUUACUUCUUCAGAACACCCUGAGAAACUCAAACAUUUAUAAGAAGAAACCAGGGGGAAUGGCACCAGAUUUUUUUGCUGUUUGUUCUCCCUGUCCUUCACAGCAGGGCUUUUGUCUAAUUGUCCAACUGAGUUGAGUCUAGUGGUAAGACCCGAGGGGAUGGCCUGAAGUUGUGUCAGGGCAGGUUUAGGUUGGGUAUCAGGAAAAGGUUCUUCACCCAGAGGGUGUUUGGGCACUGGAACAGCUCCCCAGGGCAGUGGACACAGCACCAGCCUGACAGAGCUCAAGCAGUGUUUGGACAGUGCUCUCAGGCACGGGGUGUGACUCUUAGGGAUGGUGCUGUGCAGCUCUGGGGGUUGGACUCAAUGAUCCUUGAGGGUCCCUGCCCACUCAGCACAUUCUGUAGUUCUGGGAUUCAUUGACAACAUGGGAUGGCUGGACCUUCCCAUUGACCAUCAGUGCCCUUUCUGACUGCUGUGCACUCGAACUCACUGGGUGCUGUGAGUAAGGAAGACUGAGUUGCAAUCUUUGAUAGAAAUAGCCUCUUAGAGGUCAGAUGAGAUGUGAAAGUCUCAUUGUCAAGCUCUGUAGAAUUACUUUGCUGUUCUUUCUUGUGGGAUAGUCAGGAAUGUAAAAGGCAUCUCUCACUAAAACCUCCCCACACACACACAAGUAGGAGGGAAAAAAAUGUAUUCUGAGAGGGUUUAUUUACAUCUUUUUUGUCUUUUACAGAUGGUUGUGUUUCUAUUUUAAAGCAGAUUUGUGUAAUGAAAUGGAGGAAAAAUAAACCGUGUUAUGAAAAUAAUUUAUCCAAACCACCAUUGUGCAAUCAGUGUAUAUAUGUUGCCUAUGUAUACAUUGCCUUACUCUAAAAUAGCAUCCUCCAAGGGACAUGUGGAAGCUUUACAUUAUUGAUCAUAGUGUGAUAAGAAGUCACACUUUUUUGUCCAAAAAACUGUGGUAGAAUUUGAAAAAAACCUUUGCUGAAUACGUUCAGACACUAAGAAGACUUCAAAUUCAGAAGAAUGCAAUAUUUGUCAUCUUUGGUGACCCAGGAAAGAUGUCAAAUAGCAUAGCAGAAUUGUGGCCAAGGAGAAAUUGAUUACUUUCCCAGAAAUAUUUUUUCAUUACCCAUGAAAAUUAAUUUAUUUUGUUUCACAUAUCUAACUCUAGUCAUCACCUAAAGAAUAAUACUAAUUAGGAAAACACCAGAAAUAUUUAAAUAAAUUGGAGGCAUUUCAAUUUUGGAGAGAAGCAUUAAAAUCAUUCCUUUAUAGAGACGCGAUAAGGGACUUCUACAGAAGCACACACAAAAAAGUCAGUUACUAGAAGGAAUAAAGACCAAAUUUUUUAAGAUUAUAAACACCGUAUUACAGGAAGAGAGAUUCAAACAGUGCCUGUCUGAAAUAAAUGAGAUGAAAUUCAGCAAGACUUAAAUGAAUGUUAGCAUGUAAUAUUUUACAGUUUUAGGAUAUUAGAAUGUCAGAAUCUGUUACUCUGAAAAAAUCACCCAGAGCCAAUCUCACCUCACUCUCUAAAAGAGGAUUGGGAAAAAUUAAAACUUUUUAGAGCUACAUAUGCAUCUCUGAAAGUCUUUAAUUUUGAGCGAGUCAAAGCUUUUUGCCAUGAGCAGGAUUAUAUGGCAUUAGGAGUUUACUGAGGCUGUCUACAAAGAGAAACAGAAAUGUAUUAACUCAAAGGAGUUAUUUCCCUGUAAUAUGCUAGCAGAGCAAGUCAGCCUUGUAAUAACUGCAGCCUGCCUUUGCAGAACGUUGACCUUAGAUGUGAACAACCCUUGGACAUUUUGGCUGUAUCUACAUCAGUAAUUGAAACAGGAAGAGUCCUAGAGGCUGUAAUUCAGCCAUCCAUACCAUAAUAUUGUUACAAUGGUAUCUGAUACACUUUUGGACCAAAGCCCAAGCACUGCCACUUUUUUUGGGUUUCAGAGAGGGCAGAAACUAUAAUUCCUACAGCUCUUAAAUUUUCCGUGUGAAUGUGUCAUUUCAGCUGAACCAUUCACAAGUAUUUUGGUAGUUGAAGUGAAUUGAAUUCUAUUCUUGGCAGCUCUCAGAAAUUUCCUGUCAAAAUUCUACAGUCUUAUUAAAGGUGAUUUUUUAUUUUCUGAUUUGACUCUCUUGUGUACAGCACCUUUUUUUACAAUAAUUAUUUUUAAUGCCAGUCUACUUUUCUCUCUGAACUCAUUGAUAAAUCCUGAGAAUUACGUUUUUUAUUUGGAGUGCAAAAAGUUUGUACAAGACUACCUGGAGAAAUUAUAAUUUUAGGCUCCCUACAAAGACAUCCUUCCAUUGCUGGUAACAGUGUGAUAAAUUCAUUCUGGAGAAAUACUAAUCAUAUAGACUGACUAAUCUUUUAAAAUAUAAUAUAUUGGUGUCCAGUGGUUUAGCAGUAAUAUUGGUUUAUUUACAAUUUGAUAAUUUUAAUUGCAUUGGGAAAAAAACCCAAGCAUUUCCUCAUGUUUUCAAUCACAAACAACUUUUGCUGUUUGUACUUCAGAAACAGAAAUAAAGAAAAGCCCCUCUUUCCUUCAUUGUUUCUUUGCUUCCUGCUGCUUUUGCGUUUGCUUUCUUGUUAAACCUGUGAAUUUUAGAUGUGUAUAUCAAAG